UUUGUAUAUAAAAAAAAAAAUUGCACAAAACCGCCUUGCAUGCCAUUUUUUCACCAAGCAGUGACAAGUGCAGUUUGCACUUUUUUUAGUUCUCAGACUCAACUCCCCACUCCUGUUAUUUCCCACUUCUCUCAAGCCUAUACGCUCAUCAGCGCACACCACUCGGGCCAUCUCCUUCAUUCAUCCUCACAGAACUUGUGCAUUAUUAAUUGUGAAGAUGUUGUGAGUCCUGUGAUGGCAGUGGUGCUGAGUUUUGGCAGGCACGAUACUUUUUUGACGUUAAAUGGUUUCUAGUUCAUCCUGGACAACUCAAGGAGGAGCGCAACAGACUCCUCCCUUUUUGGCUCCAAUUCAGCAACAUCAUCUACUUUCAGGGAGUCCCUCCUAAUUCUUGUUUUGAUUAUAUAGUUACAUUGAGGACAAUGCAACAUUUUAAGUUCGGGAGGCUUUGUUUUGAAAGAUAUUUUUGUGAUGGGGUGUGAUAUGUCAUGAUGGAUGAUAAUUUGGUAGAUUGAUUUUAUUUUGGUAUUUUUUAUGACA